rnacentral:rRNA from 1 species
GACGAACGCUGGCGGCGUGCUUAACACAUGCAAGUCGAACGGAAAGGCCCUGCUUUUGUGGGGUGCUCGAGUGGCGAACGGGUGAGUAACACGUGAGUAACCUGCCCUUGACUUUGGGAUAACUUCAGGAAACUGGGGCUAAUACCGGAUAGGAGCUCCUGCUGCAUGGUGGGGGUUGGAAAGUUUCGGCGGUUGGGGAUGGACUCGCGGCUUAUCAGCUUGUUGGUGGGGUAGUGGCUUACCAAGGCUUUGACGGGUAGCCGGCCUGAGAGGGUGACCGGCCACAUUGAGACUGAGAUUAUGCCCAGACUCCUACGGGAGGCAUCGGUGGGGAAUAUUGCACAAUGUGCGGAAGCCAGAUGCAGCAACGUCGCGUGCGGAAUGACGGCCUUCGGGUUGUAAACCGCUUUCGCCUGUGACGAAGCGUGAGGGACGGUAAUGGGUAAAGAAGCACCGGCUAACUACGUG